UGGGGAAUAUUGCACAAUGGGGGAAACCCUGAUGCAGCAACGCCGCGUGAAGGAUGAAGGUUUUCGGAUCGUAAACUUCUAUCAACAGGGACGAAACAAAUGACGGUACCUGAAUAAGAAGCCCCGGCUAACUACGUGCCAGCAGCCGCGGUAAUACGUAGGGGGCAAGCGUUAUCCGGAAUUACUGGGUGUAAAGGGAGCGUAGGCGGCACGUCAAGCCAGAUGUGAAAGCCCGGGGCUUAACCCCGUGGAUUGCAUUUGGACUGGCGAGCUAGAGUACAGGAGAGGAAAGCGGAAUUCCUAGUGUAGCGGUGAAAUGCGUAGAUAUUAGGAAGAACACCAGUGGCGAAGGCGGCUUUCUGGACUGAAACUGACGCUGAGGCUCGAAAGCGUGGGGAGCAAACAGGAUUAGAUACC
rnacentral:rRNA from 1 species